AGAGUUUGAUCCUGGCUCAGAUUGAACGCUGGCGGCAUGCCUAACACAUGCAAGUCGAACGGUAGCAGGGCCUUCGGGUGCUGACGAGUGGCGGACGGGUGAGUAAUGCGUAGGAAUCUGUCUUUUAGUGGGGGACGAACCCAGGGAAACUUGGGCUAAUACCGCAUGAGCCCUGAGGGGGAAAGCGGGGGAGUCUUCGGACCUCGCGCUAAGAGAAGAGCCUACGUCUGAUUAGCUAGUUGGUAGGGUAAAGGCCUACCAGGGCGACGAUCAGUAGCUGGUCUGAGAGGACGACCAGCCACACUGGGACUGAGACACGGCCCAGACUCCUACGGGAGGCGAC
rnacentral:rRNA from 1 species